rnacentral:sRNA from 1 species
GAAAAACCCAGGCUCAGCAGUUUCCCUGCUGUCUACUUCUCAGAAAUUGUUCCACACUCCCAGGGCUGUAUUCCAGGUUUUUAUUGUGCACUUUAAAUUGGGCUAUCUCUCAACAGUUGCAUUUAAUUGGGUGAUUAUUAAAAACCUCGAGCAAGUUCAGUCACUCUCACCCAGAAAAUGCCCUGGUGUCCAACUUGAAGGCUUGAAUGAGACCAACCUUCUCUCAGGUCCACUGUCCUGCUGGGAGCUGCACGGUAGGGGGGAGCAAAGAUAGGGCUGUGGGUGGAUGUGUCCUCUUGUGGAGUUUGGAAACCACCUAAUGACAGCCCCCACCCAUUACCUACUUCUAAUCACGAAUGGACUGAAAAGCUUAACCCUUAUCACUGCUGCAGCAGAAAGCCAUUUGUCAUAUAUAGAUAUGCUGUGGGCAAAAUGCACACAAUCACAAGGGUAUGAGAUACUCUGAGGUGGGGAUCUUGUUUCAGAGCCAUGCUGUGUAACAAAAGGUACUGUUCUAGAACAGCCGCAGGAGGGUUCCUGAGAGAACUGAAAGGAAACCUUGCUUCCUGACAGAUGUGGCUACAGUGUCAAAAUCGAGUCUCAGAAUGCCCUUGGGAGCACAUAGCACAGACAGUGACUGGAACAUCUGUGGAAUCCCGAAUCCUUGGUUUCCGAGUGAGUGUGCGAACAUCCCACUGACUAGUUCCCUGCAAGUGCUGACGUCAGGGGCUACCUUCCCUAGUCAACUUCCCAUUAAUCCUCCUGCAGUGAGGAAGGAAAACUAGCUUUAGCUUAUGUUUUCAGAGACUCCAGUCCACAGUCAGCUAACUCUGCUGCCCUCUGCCCUGGGCUGAGGCAUCAAAGCAGGACACAUGGUGCACAGCUCAUUGAUCAUCCCAUGGCAUCAGGGGAGGGCAUUUUGAAGUCACUUCAAACAGGUCGUAAACAUUUUCCCCAUGUCAGCCGGGAACUCACAGAACACCAUCACCCCUUCUGCUUCUUCUCCUUCACUGCGGUUUUCCUACGGAGACAUCUGUCUGAUGCCACUGUAGUCCUCAGACCAUUGCUUCUGGAGUCCACUUUGUCUCUAGAGUGGCUAGAAACCCCCGAAUCACAUUUCUAGAGUCAGCCCUAACCAGCCACUGCCAGGAAGGAUACCCAGGUCGUAUUGGAGGACGGAACGACCAGGAACUUGGCAUGGUAUGCCAGCCCGCUGUGAGUGUAUGCUUUCUGAGCAUGGAUAGCCCCAGUGACCCCUCUCACCUGCUGUAUCUCCUUUGGUGGGGUGGGCAGAAGCCCUCGUCUGGCCAUCUGUGGCAGUGUCUCUGCCGAGGCUGAUGCUCCACAGACCCCUGGAAUCUCCACAUUCACUGACGUCUUAGGUGUGUGUGGCCUGUACAGCUUGCCUUCGUCUGGCCCCAGCUGUUCUCUUUCUCCUCUCAUGGGAUACUCCCCACCCUCAAGAGCCAGCCUUGCUAGCUGUGUUUUCCUCAGGUCUUAGCUGAGCAUAAUCAUCCCCCAACACACUGAGUGGGACAGACAAGAGGCCCUCUUGUUACACCAGAGGAAGCUGACCACAUCAAAUCACAGACAAGGUAUGUAGCCAGAAGUCAGAGGUGCAAGGGACAGAGCUCCCCGUCAGCUACAACCACCAUUCCCUUCCUAGAGGUUUCCCAAAGGCAUUCGGUACCCCUGAACCUACAAGACAGUAUAUAUACCCCCAACCUACUGGUCCCAGGCGGGCUUCACAGAACCAAGGGUCCUUGCAGCCCUGCCCACAGUGCCUCACGAGGAAAUGUGGUACUUUCUCAAGCCAGUGAGGCAAAGGUCACUGCUAGGGAGUUAAAUCUAGGGGCAGCAUCCCAGAUUUAAAGAGCAAGCCAUAAGGAAGGCUGCUCUCCACUUCCUCUGUGUGUUACCUCAUCAAAGUGUGAUGUCUAGGGCAUCCCAGCCCACAGGCAAAGCCGCACCAUAUACCAGUGAACAGAGAAACAACUGCUCUCCUCAGGCCGCUGAGGAGCUGAAGCUGCCAGCCCCCGGGCUCUCUGGAGCGUUUCCAUAGCUCAUGGCUCCCAGCUGAACACAGCCAGUCAGAUCUACUCCCGUUUCUGCUGCACCCCCAUCUCUCCCCUCUGUGCUUGCUGUGCAGUAAGUGUGUAAUAUUUGUGAACGUGUAGUGUGUCGGUGUCCCCUGUAGCAGACCGGGCAAUGAGACUUAAUGUGUCAUAUGAAGGGAGUGUUCCAGGGGACACAAAUAAGGGAGCAGAUAUAGGACAAGGGUUGGUGAGGGACAGCACUGGAGCUGGGCUGUCCUCACCCCCACUCUUCAGUAUCAGGCCAUGGCGUUCUCCAGGGACACAGGCACCCAGGCCUUUCCUCAGAGCAGCGCAAGCGACACUGGUCAGACUGUGUUGAAGCAAUAGCAGGAAGCAGCGAGGACCUAGGUGGGGCGCCAGCACUGUGUCUGUCAGUACAACUGUCUGUCUGUCUCAGGACCACUUUCCCAUGGGUGAUACUACCCACAGUGGGAUGGACCCUCCAAUUCUCAGUCAAGAAAGUGCCCGGCAGCACAGUAUCCAACAGACAGCAAAGCCAGGGCUGCCUCCAGACCUGCUGUCCCUUUCACCAUCCUUCCUAGGACCAGAGGGGAUGCCGCCUGCUCAGGAUGGACUCUAUUGAAAUGUAAAAUACACACUUUGCAUAUCAAAAGCAUCAUUGUGUUUAGCUAUGCAUCUCCAGUUUCUUCUUGCAAAACAUUGAAACCUAGCUCAUAAUUUGAUGAUAAAAUAUUGAUUAUUUAUUGACAGCCACAUGCAGAGGUCCAUGGCACAUGAACGGGAGGCCCACCCUGCAUUAUCUGUAUUUUAAGUCAAUAUGAAGAUGGAUAUUCUACCCCUGAGAUGAAUUUUGUUAAAGUGCUUUUGUCAAUAAAAAGACACUCCUGUUAGAGUGUGCCAACUCCUGCUAUUGGCCUGGGGUCUGCUUCUCCACACACCAGGCGGCUCCAAGAGAGGCUUCCAACCUCCAGCAGCUCCUGGUCAGUCUGCAUAUUUCUUUAAGCCAUGUGAGUGAAAAAUAUCAAGGAAUGGUGAGUUGGCAUUCCAGGUGAGAGAGAAUGAAAAGAAAAGCGAACACAACUUAUAAACAAAUCUGGGAGAGCUUCAUCACCAUCCAUAGCAACUGCGUGUCUUCUGCUUCCAAGAUAGAAGAGCGGAAGUGUGGACCAUCUCUGAGCGUCUGCCCUGACUGCCUACCCAGCAGGUAUUGCCACCUGAAUCUUAGACGUAACCUCUUUCAAAUCUUUUUUCUUUUUUACUUCUAAAUUGUUUAUUGGGUAUGAAUUUUAUAAGCAUUACCUGUAUUUGCAGUAAUGGUAGAGCUGAAGAGUAUUCUAUGUCCCCAGGCUGCACGGUGAGAGCCACCAAUAGUGUGGUAAAACUGGUGUGACCCUUUUCAAGGUCACAGAUGUCAGCUCAGGCAUGCCUGUGUGUGUGUGUGGACUGGUUUGGUGAUCCAGUGGGUGUCGGGAUUUUUUUCUGCUAGCCUUACAGAAAGGAUUGCUUCCUUCCCAUCAGAAAGGGAGACACAGAGGCUCAGAGAUCUUAGCAUCAUUCACUCCUUAUAAUGCCCAAUGUUUGAAUGCCGGAUAAAUUUACCUAUCUGCUUCAUUGAUUCAUCCCACAAAGUGAGCUGUGACAGUGCAGUAGGACUCCGGGAUUUACCAGUGAACCAAACAGGCAUUCAAGUGGGCUCUCAAGAAAUAGCUGUAAUUAUUAAGGGCUGGCUAGACUGGGUUAGUCAGCCACUGCACUAGAAGGGAGGAAGCAAUAUAAGACUGAAAGUUCCAGUUUUAAACAGAGAGCUUAAAUCUGAACCAAACUGUGAGAGGGUUAGAGGAGUCAGAGGAACAGCUGUAGAGGAGAGGGAAGGAAUUUCCAGGCACUUACGGGGGCAAGCACUCGGGCAGGGAUGUGCCUGACUUAUUUGAAGAAAAAUGAGUGUCUGGGAUGAAGUGAGUUGAAUGUUCAUGGUUAAAUUAGAAGAAUGAGACUAAGCUUCCUGCAGUCCAUUUACCCCGCCUGCACCUCACAGAGUCUCUAGGAAGAGUAUACCAAGAAAGGACAGCAGCCUGGACGCAGCUGGCAGGGAGCAACAAGCCCGGGAGUUUUCAGCGUCUUCCCACAUCCUCCUGAAGACACUGUCAGUCUCAGCACCUCCGGCCAACAAGCAACAUGGAAACAGACAGAGGCCCCACUGUUUGCUGACGUUCACUGACUGUCCUUCAGGUCACCCUCUGCGAUGUGUCACCGAGGGGGAGCCAAUCCUCGAGUGCCUGUCCUAUCAGAGUCGGCCUCUGUCUGCAUCUGUCACUGCUGAUUGCAUUUGAAUGACUUUGCCUCUUUUUUAAAUAAAAGAUUUAUGCCUUA